GACGAACGCUGGCGGCGUGCUUAACACAUGCAAGUCGAACGGAAAGGCCCUGCUUUUGUGGGGUGCUCGAGUGGCGAACGGGUGAGUAACACGUGAGUAACCUGCCCUUGACUUUGGGAUAACUUCAGGAAACUGGGGCUAAUACCGGAUAGGAGCUCCUGCUGCAUGGUGGGGGUUGGAAAGUUUCGGCGGUUGGGGAUGGACUCGCGGCUUAUCAGCUUGUUGGUGGGGUAGUGGCUUACCAAGGCUUUGACGGGUAGCCGGCCUGAGAGGGUGACCGGCCACAUUGGGACUGCGGUACGGCCCAGAGUCCUACGGGAGGCAGCAGUGGGGAAUAUUGCACAAUGGGCGGAAGCCUGAUGCAGCAACGCCGCGUGCGGGAUGACGGCCUUCGGGUUGUAAACCGCUUUCGCCUGUGACGAAGCGUGAGUGACGGUAAUGGGUAAAGAAGCACCGGCUAACUACGUG
rnacentral:rRNA from 1 species